rfam:Ictidomys tridecemlineatus contig072975, whole genome shotgun sequence.
GAGGUUGUGGCUCAGUGGUAGAGCACUUGCCUGACACACAUGAGGCCCUGGGUUCGAUCCUCAGCACCACA